rnacentral:rRNA from 1 species
UUUAUGAGAGUUUGAUCCUGGCUCAGAACGAACGCUGGCGGCGCGCCUAAUACAUGCA